GGCUGUGUGGUCUAGUGGUAUGAUUCUCGCUUAGGGACCCUAAGUAUGGGUGCGAGAGAUCCCGAGUUCAAUUCUCGGCACAGCCC